rnacentral:rRNA from 1 species
AUUGAACGCUGGCGGCAGGCCUAACACAUGCAAGUCGAGCGAGCGGCGCACUGGUGAGUACUUUUUGGGUACUGCCCGAUAGUGGGGGAUAACUACUUUAAACUUUAGCUAAUACCGCAUACUAUCUGCUUACCCAUAUGGGAUUAGCUAGUAGGUGAGGUAAUGGCUCACAUAGGCGACGAUCCCUUGCUGGUCUGAGAGGAUGAUCAGCCACACUGGGACUGAGACACGGCCCAGACUCCUACGGAGGCAGCAGUGGGGAAUAGUGCACAAUGGGCGCAAGCCUGAUGCAGCCAUGCCGCGUGUAUGAAGAAGGCCCUAGGGUUGUAAAGUACUUUCAGUCGGGAGGCGGUACCGACAGAAGAAGCACCGGCUAACUCCGUGCCAGCAGCCGCGGUAAUAC